CAGGCACCAAAUCAUGGACGAAGUGAUUAUGAUCAUUGUCAAGCUGGAUUUUCUGCUUCUUUAAAAAGGAAUCAACAGGUUGUUAUGGGUGCGGUGAUGUUCAAUAAGCGAGGAAACGUUGGCUUUGAAACACGAGAUU